AUUGAACGCUGGCGGCAGGCUUUACACAUGCAAGUCGAACGAGUGGCGGACGGUUGAGUAAUGCUUGGGAAUCUAGCUUAUGGCGGGGGAUAACUACUGGAAACUGUAGCUAAUACCGCAUACCAUAGGAGGAGCCAAAGGUGGCUUAGGUAGUUGGUGGGGUAAAGGCUCACCAAGGCGACGCUCGCUCGCUGGUCUGAGAGGAUGACAAGCCACACUGGGAAUGAGACACGGACCAGACUCCUACGGGAGGCAGCAGGGGGGAAUAUUGCGCAAUGGGGGCAACCUGAUGCAGCCAUGCCGCGUGUAUGAAGAAGGCCUUCGGGUUGUAAAGUUCUUUCGGUAGCGAGGCGGUAACUACAGAAGAAGCACCGGCUAACUCCGUGCCAGCAGCCGCGGUAAUAC
rnacentral:rRNA from 1 species